rnacentral:rRNA from 1 species
UACGAAGGGUGCAAGCGUUACUCGGAAUUACUGGGCGUAAAGCGUGCGUAGGUGGUUGUUUAAGUCAGUUGUGAAAGCCCUGGGCUCAACCUGGGAAUUGCAGUGGAUACUGGGCGACUAGAGUGUGGUAGAGGGUAGUGGAAUUCCCGGUGUAGCAGUGAAAUGCGUAGAGAUCGGGAGGAACAUCCAUGGCGAAGGCAGCUACCUGGACCGACACUGACACUGAGGCACGAAAGCGUGGGGAGCAAACAGG